CUUAUUCACAGCACCGCUGUGAGUGCACAGUAAGUUGACGCAUUUUUAAUAUGUUCUUCCCGCAGUGCCGUUGUUCAAUGGAGAGCCUCGCGCAUUGGGAUGUUCGCGGUUUCCCUGCAUUCCGAACUAUGACAAAAACGGCGCUGUCAUGGCGGGUGGUGGUUGGAGAGGCCCCAGUUGCUCGGUCGGUGGAACCGACGGCUACACCACGCAUGCUGGGUAAUUCUCACAGCCGUGCCAUUCAACCCGAGGAGCAUCACAUUUGCUGAAAAUUGCCUCGUACCCCAGUGAUCUGAUGGAUGGCAGCAGACACUUUGCACAGGAGAGUUAAAUGAACUCCCUUUUUGUGUGGGAGUUGGUGAGUGUGACAUUGCUGUUCACUGUGUUUUUCUCGCUUGUGAUUACUGAGAAAAUCAGACACU